GCUGGUGCUCACUUCAGCAGCUAAAAUUGGAAUGACAGAAAGACAAGAUUAGCAUGGCCCCCAUGCAAGGAUGACAGGCAAACUCAUGAAGCAUUCCAUAUUAAA